rnacentral:rRNA from 1 species
CGGGACGGGUGAGUAACGCGUGGGUAACCUACCCUGUACAGGGGGAUAACGAGUCAGAAAUGACUGCUAAUACCGCAUAAGACCACAGCACCGCAUGGUGCAGGGGUAAAAACUACCGGUGGUACAGGAUGGACCCGCGUCUGAUUAGCUGGUUGGUGAGGUAACGGCUCACCAAGGCGACGAUCAGUAGCCGGCUUGAGAGAGUGAACAGCCACAUUGGGACUGAGACACGGCCCAA